UAAAACGAGCGCAUCACUACAGUUCCGGUUCGAGCGUCUGCAAAAACGAUGGAUUGCAGAAGCCACACAGAUAGAGUUUAGCCUGCGACCACCUACAUGUCGGAAUAGAUCCACGUCCGAAACGGUCAUAGAAUUUGAAGAAGUAUCCAAAAAAUAUGUUUGAAAGGUACUUCCAUUUUCAAAAACUAUUAGGGGUAGCCAUGAAAAAUCUUCAUCUACAAAAGAAUGCCACAGCGGCCGAAUAAAGGAAGUGACCUUUGAAGAGUACAUAUAUCAAAGAGAGAACUCCAGAAACAUGGCUUUGGAAACGCUGAAAAAUGACGACGGGUUCCCAAAUACUUUGGCAAUAUUAAAGUACACGGUAUUUAAUUUUCUUACGGGCACACUACUUGGGAGACCAGCAUCUAUAUAUAGAAAUUAUCGGGAAUUGGGAGUCAGUUGUACACAACUCGUACAGCAAAAA